rnacentral:rRNA from 1 species
AUUGAACGCUGGCGGUAGGCCUAACACAUGCAAGUCGAACGCGAAAAGUCCUUCGGGAUGAGUAGAGUGGCGGACGGGUGAGUAACGCGUAGGAAUCUAUCCUGUAGUGGGGGAUAACGUUUCGAAAGGAACGCUAAUACCGCAUACGCCCUACGGGGGAAAGCGGGGGAGUCUUCGGACCUCGUGCUAGAGGAGGAGCCUGCGUCGGAUUAGCUAGUUGGUGAGGUAAAAGGCUUACCAAGGCGACGAUCCGUAGCUGGUCUGAGAGGAUGAUCAGACCACACCGGAACUGAGACACGGUCCGGACUCCUACGGGAGGCAGCAGGUGGGGAAUAUUGCGCAAGU